GACGAACGCUGGCGGCGUGCUUAACACAUGCAAGUCGAACGAAGAGCGAUGGAAGCUUGCUUCUAUCAAUCUUAGUGGCGAACGGGUGAGUAACGCGUAAUCAACCUGCCCUUCAGAGGGGGACAACAGUUGGAAACGACUGCUAAUAACGCAUACGAUCUAAUCUCGGCAUCGAGGAUAGAUGAAAGGUGGCCUCUACAUGUAAGCUAUCACUGAAGGAGGGGAUUGCGUCUGAUUAGCUAGUUGGAGGGGUAACGGCCCACCAAGGCGAUGAUCAGUAGCCGGUCUGAGAGGAUGAACGGCCACAUUGGGACUGAGACACGGCCCAGACUCCUACGGGAGGCAGCAGUGGGGAAUCUUCCGCAAUGGACGAAAGUCUGACGGAGCAACGCCGCGUGAGUGAUGACGGCCUUCGGGUUGUAAAGCUCUGUUAAUCGGGACGAAAGGCCUUCUUGCGAAUAGUGAGAAGGAUUGACGGUACCGGAAUAGAAAGCCACGGCUAACUACGUG
rnacentral:rRNA from 1 species